AAAGUUUCAAAACCAGAAGAGCUUUGACUUAAUAAAACUUUAAUAAUGCUGAUGUACAGGAAUAUGAAUUAUAAUGAAAUAAAUUUAUUUAUUAAAGUUGUAGCAAUACAAUAGUUACUUCGUAAUCAUCUACACCACUUUAAUAAAAUAAGGAUAUACAGAAUAUUCUGUAGUUAAUUGAUAUAAACAUUAAAUGUCAAAAGCUCAGGUAAUAAAUAUAAAAUGUGAAAAUAUAAGGAUAUAUUAGUAAAUAUUUUACAGUAGAAUUUAGAAGGACCCGAUCCUCCAUCUCAUUGCCCUCCACUGUUAUAUGUCAAAAUUAAAAAUUCAAACAAAGUUCUUCGGCCAGCAUGGGUGGCGACUCAGUUUUCCAGUUACGGUUGCGUAGAUGUUAUGUCCAUUUCGCGGAAUUCAGCAUUAGUCGCGGUGGGAAAUAUUUGGUGUGCCAAGGAUAUCUUAACAGCUUUCCAUAGCCAUCCAGAUAUUUUAGUCACUUGCUACAAUGUCUUUUUACAUUCAAAAUCUACAAGGAUGCUUCUUUGGUGUGCAUGUUUCCUUUCAGGGUCUUUAGGAUUGAUUCUUCUUGCAAAAAUGUGGAAAAUGGCUAGAUGAAAAAGCAUUAAUGUUUUUAGCUUUAUAAACAACAAUUAUAGGAAAAAAUGUGAAUAAAUUAAAUAAAAAAGAAGUUAGGUAAAUUAUCCGGCAAAUAAAGAUAAACCUGUCUUGUUUAUUUAGAAUCCAAACAGUUUGCCAAAACAAUGACACAUUGUACAGAACACAUUAAAACUUUGAUUUACUAAGCUGCCAAGCAAUGUGACAAUAGUAAUUUUCUUUUUUUUCCCCCUCCUCCUGUUUAGCUUGUUUGUCUUUUAUCAUUCUUUAACGAGUUUACAUGACAAUUGUCUCUUUUAUCAACAGCGCACAUUGUUUUAAGUUACAUGCGUUAACAGUCUUGUUUAUGUCAAAACAAAUUACCCUCUUUAAAUGCCUCUGUAAAACCAUGAAAAGGUGUAAAAUAAACUUAGAAAAUUUCCGUUUUAUAAUAAAAAAUCAUCCGUAUUUUUCUAAAUAAACUUUUUUUUUUAAA